UACGUAGGUGGCAAGCGUUGUCCGGAAUUAUUGGGCGUAAAGCGCGCGCAGGCGGUUCUUUAAGUCUGAUGUGAAAGCCCACGGCUCAACCGUGGAGGGUCAUUGGAAACUGGGGAACUUGAGUACAGAAGAGGAAAGCGGAAUUCCACGUGUAGCGGUGAAAUGCGUAGAGAUGUGGAGGAACACCAGUGGCGAAGGCGGCUUCUGGUCUGUAACUGACGCUGAGGCGCGAAAGCGUGGGGAGCAAACAGG
rnacentral:rRNA from 1 species